rnacentral:rRNA from 1 species
UCGAAACCUGCACAGCAGAAUGACCCGCGAACUCGUUUACCAACCGCCGGGGGGCAGGGCUUGCCCCUUCCCCUCGGUGUCGAAACGCGUCGAGAGGCGCGGGACGGCAAGUACCCAAACACCGGCGCGGGUUGCGCCAAGGACUAUGAAAUUCUACUGCGUCCCGCGGCCCCGGGUAACCGGGCGUCGCGGUGAAGGCGCGUCGAAAUAUAUAAAAAUGAAACGACUCUCGGCAACGGAUAUCUCGGCUCUCGCAUCGAUGAAGAACGUAGCGAAAUGCGAUACUUGGUGUGAAUUGCAGAAUCCCGUGAACCAUCGAGUCUUUGAACGCAAGUUGCGCCCGAAGCCAUCCGGCCAAGGGCACGUCUGCCUGGGCGUCACGCAUCGCGUCGCCCCCUCCGUCUCCAGUGCGGAGCGGAAGAAGGGGCGGAUUAUGGCCCCCCGUGCGCCCCCGCGCGCGGCCGGCCUAAACAUGGAGCCCGUGGCCGCGAGCGCCGCGACGUUUGGUGGUUGAAUCUCGGGCAUCGCGUCGCGCGCCACAGCGUACUCGGAGAGCUCGAAGGACCCUUAGGCGCAGCAGCCUACCCCUGCGACCCC